rnacentral:rRNA from 1 species
GACGAACGCUGGCGGCGCGCCUAACACAUGCAAGUCGAACGAGAAAGGAAGAGCUUGCUCUUCUAAUCGAGUGGCGAACGGGUGAGUAACGCGUGAGGAACCUGCCUCAAAGAGGGGGACAACAGUUGGAAACGACUGCUAAUACCGCAUAAGCCCACGGUGCCGCAUGGCACAGAGGGAAAAGGAGCAAUCCGCUUUGAGAUGGCCUCGCGUCCGAUUAGCUAGUUGGUGAGGUAACGGCCCACCAAGGCGACGAUCGGUAGCCGGACUGAGAGGUUGAACGGCCACAUUGGGACUGAGACACGGCCCAGACUCCUACGGGAGGCAGCAGUGGGAAUAUUGCACAAUGGGGGAAACCCUGAUGCAGCGACGCCGCGUGAGCGAAGAAGUAUUUCGGAUGUAAAGCUCUAUCAGCAGGGAGAAGAAAUGACGGUACUGACUAAGAAGCACGGCUAAAUACGUGCCAGCAGCCGCGGU